rnacentral:ribozyme from 1 species
UUCAAAUGUAACCCACUAACGGGUCCUAAUCGUCCAAGAAACCUCAAGAAGAAUAACAAAGACACACCAUUACCUACUCAAUUUGUUAACGGCAUACAAAACGGUAACUUAUCCCUCCAAAUGUCUAAGCUUGAUUAUACGUGGAAAUCCAACCCCUUGGGUAAUAAAAGCGAUAUGGGUAAUUUGAGGUUA